rnacentral:rRNA from 1 species
AUGGGGUGGAUGGUGCUCCCCCAGGCCACCUGCCUGGACUUGCCCUGCGGGUUGUCGAACCAGAAGGUCCAGGCGUUCUCGAGCGGGUGGGCGGUGAUGCGCCCCGCAGCGGCGGCGGAGGAGCCGUCUCCGUCGUCCGCGAUCUCCCCCUCCUCCCUCUCCUCCGCGCCCGCCGACGCGGGCCUCGUCUCCGUGUCCUCGGCCAUCCCUGCGGCGGCGGCCGGAAAGUCGCGGGCUUUUCUACGGCGGGCGGCGCGAGCGAGGAGAGCAGGCGACGGCGGCGGCGGUGGUGAGGUCUGGUCUCGCCUUCGCCCAGAUGGAGACUAG